GUGCUUGCUUCAGUAGCACAUACACUAAAAUUGGAACGAUACAGGGAAGAUUAGCAUGGCCCUUGUGCAAGGGUGACAUGCAAAUUCAUGAAGCAUUGGGGCGCCUG